rnacentral:piRNA from 1 species
UGAUUCUAUGCCCUGCUCACU